rnacentral:lncRNA from 1 species
CUCCCGAGAGACAGGAAAAUCUGUCCCAUUGUUUGUGCGCCCCUCUGCUCCUCUGCGAGGGAUAUCUGGCUUCUUUACGGCUCCUCUAAAUAGACCAUGUUUAAUCAUCACUGUCAGGCGGUGAGGAGCAGCCGUCGGUGGCCUGGUGGCAGUUUAUAGGCCCAGGGCCAUAUGUCCCAGAGUGACAUGCAGGGUUGCAAUUCUGCAAUGACAAAGAACAGCUGCGGUGACCACAGCGUGAACCACGACUGAUGACAAUCUGCAGGGAUUUUUGCAUCAAACCGGCAGUGUGGCUCGCAUAAUGGAUGAUGUCAUCCUUGAAGGCAGAAACCAUGUGUCCCCAGAAGUAUGUUGGCUCUCAAUAAGUAGCU